GGUCGCGUAGCUCAGCAGGUAGAGCACAUCCCUUUUAAGGAUGGGGUCCUGGGUUCGAACCCCAGCGCAACCA
rnacentral:tRNA from 1 species